rnacentral:lncRNA from 1 species
CAUACAAUUUAAUUCUAAGAGCUUUCAAGAAAUGGGUUGUGUUUGCUUUGCAAGUCAUAUCAUGAGAGACUGCUAAAAAUAUCAUGCUUGAAUAACAGGAGAGUAGUUGAUGUUUUCUGAAUUGAACUUUUUAGAUGAACUACUACCGUGGCAUCAGUCACCACAAUUGCAUUUCAGGAAAAUAACCAGUUGUCCUAUAAAGCUUUGCUAAGAACUUAUCCAGGGCUGCCUUUUCUCUCUCGAUUUCCCUGAGCCAGAUAUUUAAAAUCUUCUGAAGUUUUUCAACAUAAAGCUUGUUUCUCCUCUCCUCUACCAAGUUGGUCAUGACAGCCCUCCACAUGUUCAUGGGGUCUCCAACUUUCAAAGUGUUCCCCUUCAGUAUGCGGCCCUUGCCACUCAUCUUCAAACUACGUCUGAGGGAGUCUCCAACUUUUGAAGUCUUCCCCUUCGCUGUGCGGCACUUGUUACUCUUUUUCAAACUUGUCAGAGGAGGUUCCAGACAGGACUGAGAGUCAUCUUUAUUGCUGUACAGUGACUCUUCAGGGGUAAGGAAUUCUAAAACCACAGCCCCAAGGGAACAGAGCAUCUCAGAAUGUUGAGGCUGAGUGAUGUCACAGAUCCUCCUAGCUCAAACCAGCUAUGACCAGAAAAAGGUGUUAAGCUUGAAGAUUAAACCAUUCUUCAGUGAUGAAGUGAACUGAUAGAGCAGGUUGGCUCUCAGAUGCCUACUACCAUCUUAUGCUUCUACCCAGGUUGAAUGAUGUUGAUCCCUAAGAAACAUCUCACACUCCAAAGUCUGCACGGUCCCUGCUUCUGGAAAAACCUGUCUACAAUACCUUCAUUUCAUCACUCCCAACUCCACUUGUGUCAACUGGAACAUGAACAAAGCUGCACUCAACCCCUCCACUGUUUGCAGGAGAUUCAAACCAGAGCCAGUAGGAAAGAGAACAAGUCUUCCUCAUUCCUAUUUUCCCUUCUAUGUGGAUGCAACCCCAGCAGCUAGAACACUCUUGGCUUUUCUCUCUCCACUCACUCCCUCCUCCCUGAAAGGGUAAAUGCGGAGGUGUGGCCCAGCUCGUUCCUUUUUUUGGAGAGGAGUUGCACACAGAAACCACAUGUUCUUCCUCAUACCCAGUGGCUGUCAGUUUUCCAGAGACAACCCGUGAUUGAGAGAGUCCUUCAGUGGCCAGUGCUGAACUGGCUGAGUGUCCAAUUCUGUGGCUUAGUUUUGAGAAGCCCAUCUGCCUGCAGACAUAAGUCACAUUCCCAAUGUCUGGUUUAUCAGUAGGAAAAGAUGUCAUGUUCACCACCAGCUGCUGACAUUCAUUCUAUGUCAUACGGUUUAAGGACUCAGACAAGAAAGAAGAUAAUCAUUAGUGAAAUUCUACCAAACCCCCUUACCUCCACAGAAAGCUCCAGCUCUGUGGCAAGAUCAGCAUGGUGGUCUGAAGGCUCUUCCUGCCUACAACUGCUCAUUUCUCCCUCACAGUACAGUAUAAGGCAUCUCCCCAUAUCAUGAUGUCUAAUUCAUCUGGUGUCCCAUUCUUGAAGAUUCUGGACUGGCAGAGAAUGUAACUUCC